UACGGAGGAUGCGAGCGUUAUCCGGAUUUAUUGGGUUUAAAGGGUGCGUAGGCGGACUGUCAAGUCAGCGGUAAAAUUGAGAGGCUCAACCUCUUCCCGCCGUUGAAACUGGUGGUCUUGAGUGGAUGAGAAGUACGCGGAAUGCGAGGUGUAGCGGUGAAAUGCAUAGAUAUCACGCAGAACUCCGAUUGCGAAGGCAGCGUACCGGCAUCCAACUGACGCUGAGGCACGAAAGCGUGGGGAUCAAACAGG
rnacentral:rRNA from 1 species